CCCUUAGAUGUUCUGGGCUGCACGCGCGCUACACUGAUGCGCUCAACGAGUUUAUAACCUUGUCCGGCAGGAUUGGGUAAUCUUUUUAAAACGCAUCGUGAUGGGGAUAGAUUAUUGCAAUUAUUAAUCUUCAACGAGGAAUGCCUAGUAAACGCAAGUCAUCAGCUUGCAUUGAUUACGUCCCUGCCCUUUGUACACACCGCCCGUCGCUCCUACCGAUUGAAUGAUCCGAUGAAUAUCAUGGAUUGAGGAUGCAAGCAGGUUCGCCUGUCUUCAUCUUCGAGAAGUGAAGUAAAUCUUAUCAUUUAGAGGAAGGAGAAGUCGUAACA
rnacentral:rRNA from 1 species